AUCGCUUCUCGCCUUUUGGCUAAGAUCAAGUGUAGUAUCUGUUCUUAUCAGUUUAAUAUCUGAUACGUCCCCCAUCGGGGGACUACAUAUUAAAAUGGAGUUUUCGAACAGGGAGUCGGAAAAUGGGGGCUUGCUCCGUCCGCUCCACGCAUCGAACCCGGUAUUGCAGUACCUCCGGGAACGUGCGCAACACUU
rnacentral:snRNA from 1 species